UACGUAGGGUGCAAGCGUUGUCCGGAAUUCUUGGGCGUAAAGAGCUCGUAGGCGGUUUGUCGCGUCGAAUGUGAAAUCCCGGGGCUCAACCCCGGGCCUGCAUUCGAUACGGGCAGACUAGAGUUCGGUAGGGGAGUCUGGAAUUCCUGGUGUAGCGGUGAAAUGCGCAGAUAUCAGGAGGAACACCGGUGGCGAAGGCGGGACUCUGGGCCGAUACUGACGCUGAGGAGCGAAAGCGUGGGGAGCAAACAGG
rnacentral:rRNA from 1 species